rnacentral:lncRNA from 1 species
UGGUGGAUGUAAGGUGUUACGAGAGUUCCAGACUUCCCUACAGGCUUCAAUACCAUCAUCAUGGGGGAUAUUAGUAUAGAGGGAGGUAACAUCAAGCGAGACAAGGAUCGUUUCAGGUGGGAGAGGGUUCAAAGAUUCCAUUUUUUUAAGAUAAUGUGUUGUGUCUUGUAUAUAUGAUGGUAAAUUUUCUACGUGUGGUCGGAGAUGAAAGUCAAUAAAUUCUGAUAUUUUCU